UGAAUAUGGGUCAUUCCAUGGGGUUGGGGCAAAAAUUGUGACAUCAGGGUCAAAAAAUAGAAAUGUAAUAAAUGAAAUGUUUUAUUUCUUAUAUGUUUCAUGGGACAAUCCUUCAACUAAAUCCACUUACAGGCAUUUCAUACCACCCUGCAUAUUGGAGUAAACUGAGAAAUAAGAUUUGACAAAAUACCACCGUUACAUGGACAUCAUUUAUCAUCCUUACUAAGACUAUGCUCUCCCACUGUCAAAAUAAAGGGGUUGAUCUCCAUUACUCUUGAUAAAUAUUUUGCUAACAACAUUGUUAGUCAUUUUAUUCCACACUUUUCAACAUGGCAUAUAUAUUUUGAAAGAUUUAGCAUCAAUAAAUGGAACUUGAUGCUCUGUGUGUAUACCAGUGCCAUGUUCUGUGUCGUUCUUUUUUCUCACCAGUCUAGAAAAUUGAAUUUAUGAUGGCAUGUAGAACUAAAUAGUUGAGAGAAGUCAUGCCUCAACAGAAUGGAAUAUUCUCUUUGGAAAAAAUAAACUACUCUUUCUGGCAUAACCUUCUAUUUUUGGUGUUACCACCAUUACAUGGACAUCAUGUCUCAGUAACAGAGGUAUACUUAGAAGCAAUGUUAAGUUAAUGUCCAUUAAUGGCCAUUACACACCAAAUUCCACUUCAUGCCUUAGAAUAUUUGCACAAGAUCAAUUGAUUACACUAAAGAAAAACAUUUUGCAUGUCAAAUUCUUUGCAAAUAAAAGCAAAUUAAAUUAGAGUUUAAACAAGGAAAAAUGUACAAAAUUAUUGACAAAUUAUAUUUAAAAUCAUACUACGAUAAUCCUCAAGUUUCCACUUCCGUCUACCUCUGGAAACAUUUACGUUUCUGCCUAAAUGGAAAAAACAAAAUAGUGCUAUCUUAUGAUCUCCAAUUCUUUUUACUUUAAAAUAACUCCUUCAAGAUAUUACUUUCAAAUGUACAUACCACCGUUACAUGGACAUCAUGUCUCAGUAACAGAGGUAUACUUUGAAGCAUUGCUAAGUUAAGGUCCAUUAAUGGCCAUUAAACACCAAAUUCCACUUCAUGCCUUAGAAUAUUUGCACAAGAUCAAUUGAUUAUACUAAAAAACAUUUUUCAUGUCAAAUUCUUUGCAAAUAAAAGCAAUUUAAAUUAGAGUUUAAACAAGGAAAAAUGUACAAAAUUAUUGAUAAAUUUAUAUUUAAAAUAAUACUAAGGUAAUCCUCAAGGUUCCACUUCCGUCUAUCUCUGGAAACAAAUGUUUCUGUCUAAAGCGGAAAAAAACAAAAGAGUGCUAGCUUAUGAUCUCCAAAUCUUUAUUACUUUAAAAUAUCUCCUUCACGGUAUUACUUUCAAAUGUACAUACCUCCGUUACAUGGACAUCAUGUCCUUGUAAUGAUCACAUUGAAUAGUAUUACAUGUACUUGCCAUUCUUUUAGUAUCAACACACUAAUGCGAGUUAACUCAUCUUACUCAAGUGUAGAAAUACAACAUCUACAGGCAAGCUUCUAAAAUGCAUCAAUGAACAGGUUACAAGUUUAUGAACUUCAAGAUGAUCGGUGACCCAAUGACAACUGUGUGGAAGAGGACUCUGUCAAUGUCACAAAAUAGAUAGAGGUAGAAUUGUGCCUCGCCAUCAGGCCAGGAGUACAGGUCACCAGAUUGACACUUCAUGUACUGAAGAUAUACAUUUUUACCUUCAACAGAG
rnacentral:lncRNA from 1 species